rfam:Ovis aries breed Texel chromosome 2, whole genome shotgun sequence.
UCCCUGGUGGCUCAGACGGUAAAGCAUCUGUCUGCAAAGCAAGAGACCCAGGUUCGAUCCCUGGGUCGGGAA